AACCCGUAAAGAAGAUUGAUUCCAGCGUC
rnacentral:piRNA from 1 species